UGAGUUGUGAGCCCUUCAGGAGAGCAUUGCCUAUCUUGACAGGUCAGAAGCCAGAGACUCUAAGGAGAAAGGUCCUGGAUUCGACAAAUAACGACAACAAAAGCAUCACACGUUUACACCAGGUAAGGAAGAGGGAGGUGCUUUUCACUUGGACCUCUCUCCUCUGGAAGAAGGAAAUACUUUGUCUUCUUUUCUGAACUGAAUGUGAAGACCCAGGAAGGAAAAGGCAGCUUCCCUGGAGACACUGACAAGAAAACCAGAGGUUUUGGAGCUCAGAUCUUCAACCUUGAGGCCACUUUCAUGAGGGUUUAAACAUGCUCAGAAUGUCUCACUACAGGCUGGUGGAAGCAAGUCUUGGCUGGGCAGCAUCGGAAGCAUUCUCCUUGCUAACUAAUCAGUCAGCACAUGCCUACCCAGCUAGAGGACGAAACUGACGCGCAGAUGAAAAACAUGGAAAACAGUGACCUGGUGUACAAAUAAGGAAAAGAAUCAUGUCAUUACCAGACAUACUUCUCAGAGAUCAUUUGAAGUUACCCUAGACAGAAUUGUUUUAGCCUGGGAUGGCCUUGUCCACCCUGAUCGCCCGGUUCACCCUUUAAUAGGAGUCAAGAGAAAUCUCAUGUAAAGCAAAUAAGAAAUGAGCUGUAUUAAUGUGAUUUUCUUUAAAUGUUGGAAUUAUUGAAUACUCUCACAACAUACUGGGGACCCUUGUUGUCCAGUGGCACCUCUGAGUCCCGGACACCCACAUGGCCCUAGGAAUGGAAAAGAGUCUAUUAAUUCAAGUAAGCUCAGUCAUGUGACCUAUACUGUUAUCACUUAAAGUGGGAGCAGAGUAUUCUAGAACUUAAUUUAAAUAUAGAGCCUUCUUUGAAACAGGAUAGAACAUAUAGUUGAGAAGUAUUUUGAUGAAUCUGGUAUAUUAUAUUGGACAAAUAUAGUAUUUUUGGUUUUGUUUUAAAAUGUGAAUUAUUGCAGAGGACUGGAUGGUAGAUUAGGAUGGUGCCUAAUCUUUGAAGCCUGUAAAUGUGGUAUGAUGUAGAAAAAGAGUCUUUAUACUUUAAAUGGUCCCCAAAGGGCAUGGCACUGUUAGGAGGCAUGGCUCUGUUAGAGUGGGUGUGGCCUUUUCGGAUGAAGUGUGUAAUUGUGGGGGCAGGCUCUGAGGUCUCCUUUGCUCAAGCUUCCCUCAGUGUGAUUGUCAGUUGACUUCCUG